rnacentral:rRNA from 1 species
GUGAUUAAGCUAUUAAGAGCGUGCGGCGGAUGACUUGGCGUCAAGAGGCGAUGAAGGACGUCGGAGCCUGCGAAAAGCCCAGAGGAGCUGGCAACCAAGCUGUGAUCCUGGGAUGUCCGAAUGGGGAAACCCUUCCCGACUUGUCGGGAAAUCCAUGCCUGAAUGUAUAGGGUAUGGAGGCUAACCUGGGGAAUUGAAACAUCUUAGUACCCAGAGGAAAAGAAAGAAACCUCGAUUCCGUCAGUAGCGGCGAGCGAACGCGGAUCAGCCCAAACCGCCCCUCGGGGCGGGGUUGUGGACACCAACGUGGUACGGUCGAAUUUGUUGCGAAGUGUCUGAAAAGGCAAACCAAAGAAGGUGAUA